rnacentral:rRNA from 1 species
GAUGAACGCUGGCGGCGUGCCUAAUACAUGCAAGUUGAGCGGGAGGUUUACCUCCAGCAGCGAACGGGUGAGUAACACGUAUCUAACCUGCCCUUAAGUCUGGAAUAACGUUGGGAAACCGACGCUAAUGCCGGAUAGGUAAUUGAAUCUUAUGAAUUAAUUAUUAAAGAAGCGUUUGCUUCGCUAAAGGAUGGGGAUGCGCAGCAUUAGAUAGUUGGUGGGGUAAUUGCCCACCAAGUCAACGAUGCUUAGCCGACCUGAGAGGGUGAUCGGCCACACUGGAACUGAGACACGGUCCAGACUCCUACGGGAGGCAGCAGUAGGAAUUUUUCACAAUGGGCGAAAGCCUGAUGAAGCAAUGCCGCGUGAUUGACGAAGGUCUUCGGAUUGUAAAGAUCUGUGGUUAGGAAUGAAAGCAAGAAAUAGGAAAUGAUUUUUUGCCUGACAGUACCUAAUUAGAAAGUCACGGCUAACUACGUGCCAGCCGCCGCGGUAAU